rnacentral:rRNA from 1 species
CCUACGAGUGGCAGCAGUGAGGAAUAUUGGUCAAUGGGCGCGAGCCUGAACCAGCCAAGUCGCGUGAGGGAAGACGGUCCUAUGGAUUGUAAACCUCUUUUGUCGGGGAGCAAAAGACGCCACGCGUGGCGUUCCGAGAGUACCCGAAGAAAAAGCAUCGGAUAACUCAGUGCCAGCAGCCGAGGUAAUAAGGAUGAUGCGAGCGUGAUCCGGAGUUAUUGGGUUUAAAGGGUGCGCAGGCGGAAGAUCAAGUCAGCGGGAAAAUUGAUAGUCUCAACCUCUGCGAGCCGUUGAAACUGGUUUUCUUGAGUGAGUGAGAAGUAUGCGGUAUGCGUGGUGUAGCGGUGACAUGCAUAGAGAUCACGCAGAACUCCGAUUGCGAAGGCAGCAUACCGGCGCUCACCUGACGCUCAUGCACGAAAGUGUGGGUAUCGAACAGGAUUAGAUACCCUAGUAGUC